UAUAAGUAGAGGGAAACACAUAUAUUCCCCAACUCGGGUUCCUUUUUUGUUAUUCUCCUUUCUUGCACUAAUCAGUUACAUAUUAGUGUUUAAACACACAUAUAAAUAUCUACAAUAUAUAUAAGAUUACAUUUUCAUUUUAGCUGUGAUUUUUGUUAUGAGCAUAUUUAUUUUUUAAGCCAAAAGAAUAUUAUCACUUGGAUAUGUAACUUUUGAUUAAUAGAAAGUAAAAUAAUACAAAUUUUUAAUUUAUGCUUCUGUCUCGAUAGUAGGGUAAUAUUUACCCUAUAGCUUUGAACACAAAGAAAUUUCAUAUUUUAGAGAAAUCCGUAUGUAUAAAGUACAGUAAGGCGUUUCCAUAAGGAUUUAAAUUGAGAACAUAAAUUAUGAGCAGAUAAUAAAAUUUAAUGAAAAAGAUAAAUAUUUUAAGGAUGAAUUCUAUGAAUAUAGUUUGAUUAUAAAUAUACUUUCUUAUUGAAACAAUCACAGGGGUUAUUUCUAUUAACUGGAUUUCUAUUAACUGGAUUCUUGUUACUUCAUAACUUUGACGUUGUGUUUUAUCAAAGCUUUGAAGAUUUGUAUAUCCUCGUGAAUUAGAGUCACAUAAAUCCAUUAGAGGUAGGUUUGUAGUUUAGGGAUAAAACCUUGCUACAUCCGUUCUUGCCUAUUGAGGCACGAGGAAUGGACCGCCAAUGAAUCCUGCUUCCAACUUUUAUUCCUCUGACUUAAGCCCGU
rnacentral:lncRNA from 1 species